GACAGAGGGGGCAAGCGUUGCUCGGAAUUACUGGGCGUAAAGCGUGCGUAGGCGGUUCGUUAAGUCUGUCGUGAAAGCCCUGGGCUCAACCUGGGAAUUGCGAUGGAUACUGGCGAGCUAGAGUACGGUAGAGGAUGGUGGAAUUCCCGGUGUAGCGGUGAAAUGCGUAGAGAUCGGGAGGAACACCCGUGGCGAAGGCGGCCAUCUGGACCAGUACUGACGCUGAGGCACGAAAGCGUGGGGAGCAAACAGG
rnacentral:rRNA from 1 species